CCUACAAUGGGCCUUUCUCAAUGUUUGUAACAUACUCAUAAUCUACAAAACGGCAUCUCUGAUAACUAACUCACAUUCUUCAAAGUUUUCGGGUGGAAAUAAGCGAAACCAAGGGGAGGGCAAGGGUCCAGACUGCAAGAAUCUAGCGAUCAGGUAAUACAGCUCUGUGAAAAGGGGAAAAAGAGGUUGAGAGGGAGGUAAAGAAAAACAGAAGCUUUUUCAAAAGAAACUGACAGCCGUCGCGCCAAGCUCCCAUCUCCUUAGCCCCCAGACACAGUUACCCACCGGCUUCGAUCUGGAUAUUCUAGCCCAAGAGCUGAGGAGGCGGAAAGGAGAGCGAGAGAGAGAGAGCAAGAGAGCGAGCAAGAGAGCGAGUGAGCGAGAGCAAGCACGAGCUGGCGAGCCUGAGAGAAGAGAGGGGAGGAGCCGAAGUUGUGGA